rnacentral:tRNA from 1 species
GCCUGAGUGGCGAAAUUGGUAUACGCACAGCACUCAAAAUGCUGCGACCUAUGUCAUGUCGGUUCGAGUCCGACCUCAGGCACCA